GAUCCCUGGUACCCCCCCCAAAAAAGAUUGGGUAGGGUCAAAGUGGGAGCUUUAAGGACUGUGCGAUUGAGGACCCAAAAGGAAACUGGAAUUAAAUCUGUUUCUGGCUCUCUUUCUCAGGGAUCCCUAUGGGACGCCUCAUAGAGGGAUUUUGCAAUGAGUGAGAAAUUUGGGAUCCAAAGUCUAAAAUAGCUAAGAAGCCCCAGAAAUGAAAGGAGAUAUCUUGUGGUGGGAAAAGGAAGAUUUGUUAAUAGCCUCUUUUCAGGAAAGAGUUAUUCCAGUGACUUUCCAGCUUCAAAUUUGGAGGCAAAUUUUCCAUCAAAGGAUUAAGUACCAGUAUCUUCGAAUGCUGAUGAAGUGUUACUUAAGUCUCAUCAAUUCACAAUUUCUUAUCAUAUACACUACAUACACAAAUUUUCGAUCUUUCACAGGACAUUAGCAAAAUUAGGCAAACUGGACUAGCAUGACCAAAAAAGAUGUUACAGAGCACACACAAUUCUGACAGGGCAACGAUCAGGAAGUAGUUUUCUUUAGGAAACAAUUCUACUAAAAACAUGGGAAUAGAAGUCAUUUAGAAUAUCCAAGGCAGGGGUCGGGGAUUUAGCUCAGUGGUUUCACCGCCUGCUUUGCAAGUGCAAGGACCCGAGUUCGAUCCUCGGUACCAAAAAACCCCCCAAAAAUCCAAGACAUAUUAAAUGCACGACUGUGACUCCAAAUUACCAUUUAGUAUGCUUUAUAUUACAGGAUAUAAAACUAAUCCCCACCUGUGGAAUGUUAAGCUGACACCCAGGACAGUCAAAGCCUGCCAUAAUUCAAUAUCCCACUAUUUUCUGGUUGUACCAAAAAAUAAACAACCAGCAAAUGAUUUCACGUCUAAAAAAAAAAUCAUUUACACUUAAAAAAUGCGAUGAGGUGGGAUUCCCUCCUUUUUAAAAAUGUUUCUAGAGCUGCUAAAAAACUUGCGUUUACAAAAUAGCUGACAAAAAUAUUCCUCUGGAUUGUACGAGAAGGGAGACAGGGAGCACUGGUAAGACGCGGUGUGCUCAGUCAGACUUGGCUUCUUUUGCUUCCGUUUCUUUGGAGGCUGGGCUCUCCCCGUUUUUAGUUUCUCCGUUUUCCGUGGGUAAAUCUUCCUUAGGUUCUUGAUUAGGCACUUCAGCCUGUUUUCCUUUUGCUCCCCUUUUCCCUUUGGCUUGCCCUUUUUUGUCGGAAGAUUUAUUCUUUCCCGCUUUUUUGGCUUCGUUUCCACUUUUGCAGGAGCAGGUUUAGCCGACAACCUCGCCGAUCUCCUCUUGGG
rnacentral:lncRNA from 1 species